GCAUGGGGGAGGGGAGGCCCCCUUUUCCACAAUGAGGUAUAAGGCCCAGCAGACGGACUUCCAACAUCCCAGAGGGUCGGCGAGGGCCAACGAUAAAGGCACAAGAUAGCCAAUGAGACAAUGAUAGCCAUAACAAAGGCUAUGGGCCAUGGAGUUGAGUGGGCACAGGCCAUCUCCACUUGCUGUUGCGUAGGGAUGGGGCCAGGGCCAAAAGACACGUGGUACCGGCCAGCGAAACAAGAGGAAUCCUCAGUUGUGGGAAAUGACAAAAGGGAAGGGAAGAAUCUUACCAAUCCAAUAGGGUGAAGAGUCCCGCACGGUCCUCCAGCCAGAAAAAUGAACAUUAACAGGGGUGAGUGACCUUCCUGAUCCUUGACUUAGGAGGCAGAGGGAAGAGGCAUGCACCUUGUGGAAACAUGUGACUAGUUCUAGCUCCUACAGUCCCCUUGGCAUCUGGAAAUGAAGACUCAUUACUUUCAAGCUGUUAUGGACUUCACAGCUGGCUGUGUUAUUUAUAUGAGAUGACAAGACAGACUCUUCAGGACUGAAGCCUUUAAUAAAUUGAUCAAUUUACUGAA